AAACCAACAGGGAUUGCCUCAGUAACGGCGAGUGAAGCGGCAACAGCUCAAAUUUGAAAUCUGGCCCCCUCGGGGUCCGAGUUGUAAUUUGGAGAAGAUGCUUCGGGUGCGGCCCCGGUCUAAGUUCCUUGGAACAGGACGUCACAGAGGGUGAGAAUCCCGUACGUGCCCGGUGGUCGCCCCCGUGUGAAGCUCUUUCGACGAGUCGAGUUGUUUGGGAAUGCAGCUCUAAAUGGGUGGUAUAUUUCAUCUAAAGCUAAAUAUUGGCCAGAGACCGAUAGCGCACAAGUAGAGUGAUCGAAAGAUGAAAAGCACUUUGGAAAGAGAGUUAAACAGUACGUGAAAUUGUUGAAAGGGAAGCGCUUGCAACCAGACUUGCGCGCGGCCGAUCAUCCGGUGUUCGCACCGGUGCACUCGACCGCGCGCAGGCCAGCAUCGGUUUGGGUGGCUGGACAAAGGCCUCGGGAAUGUGGCUCCCCUCGGGGAGUGUUAUAGCCCGAGGUGCAAUGCAGCCUACCCGGACCGAGGACCGCGCUUCGGCUAGGAUGCUGGCGUAAUGGUUGUAAGCGACCC
rnacentral:rRNA from 1 species